UUAAGCGACUAAGCGUACACGGUGGAUGCCCUGGCAGUCAGAGGCGAUGAAGGACGUGCUAAUCUGCGAUAAGCGUCGGUAAGGUGAUAUGAACCGUUAUAACCGGCGAUUUCCGAAUGGGGAAACCCAGUGUGUUUCGACACACUAUCAUUAACUGAAUCCAUAGGUUAAUGAGGCGAACCGGGGGAACUGAAACAUCUAAGUACCCCGAGGAAAAGAAAUCAACCGAGAUUCCCCCAGUAGCGGCGAGCGAACGGGGAGCAGCCCAGAGUCUGAAUCAGCAUGUGUGUUAGUGGAAGCGUCUGGAAAGUCGCACGAUACAGGGUGAAAGUCCCGUACACAAAAGUGCAUGUGUUGUGAACUCGAAGAGUAGGGCGGGACACGUGGUAUCCUGUCUGAAUAUGGGGGGACCAUCCUCCAAGGCUAAAUACUCCUGACUGACCGAUAGUGAACCAGUACCGUGAGGGAAAGGCGAAAAGAACCCCGGCGAGGGGAGUGAAAAAGAACCUGAAACCGUGUACGUACAAGCAGUGGGAGCCUCUUUAUGGGGUGACUGCGUACCUUUUGUAUAAUGGGUCAGCGACUUAUAUUCUGUAGCAAGGUUAACCGAAUAGGGGAGCCGAAGGGAAACCGAGUCUUAACUGGGCGUUAAGUUGCAGGGUAUAGACCCGAAACCCGGUGAUCUAGCCAUGGGCAGGUUGAAGGUUGGGUAACACUAACUGGAGGACCGAACCGACUAAUGUUGAAAAAUUAGCGGAUGACUUGUGGCUGGGGGUGAAAGGCCAAUCAAACCGGGAGAUAGCUGGUUCUCCCCGAAAGCUAUUUAGGUAGCGCCUCGUGAACUCAUCUUCGGGGGUAGAGCACUGUUUCGGCUAGGGGGUCAUCCCGGCUUACCAACCCGAUGCAAACUACGAAUACCGAAGAAUGUUAUCACGGGAGACACACGGCGGGUGCUAACGUCCGUCGUGAAGAGGGAAACAACCCAGACCGCCAGCUAAGGUCCCAAAGUCAUGGUUAAGUGGGAAACGAUGUGGGAAGGCACAGACAGCCAGGAUGUUGGCUUAGAAGCAGCCAUCAUUUAAAGAAAGCGUAAUAGCUCACUGGUCGAGUCGGCCUGCGCGGAAGAUGUAACGGGGCUAAACCAUGCACCGAAGCUGCGGCAGCGACACUAUGUGUUGUUGGGUAGGGGAGCGUUCUGUAAGCCGUUGAAGGUGUGCUGUGAGGCAUGCUGGAGGUAUCAGAAGUGCGAAUGCUGACAUAAGUAACGAUAAUGCGGGUGAAAAACCCGCACGCCGGAAGACCAAGGGUUCCUGUCCAACGUUAAUCGGGGCAGGGUGAGUCGACCCCUAAGGCGAGGCCGAAAGGCGUAGUCGAUGGGAAACAGGUUAAUAUUCCUGUACUUGGUGUUACUGCGAAGGGGGGACGGAGAAGGCUAUGUUAGCCGGGCGACGGUUGUCCCGGUUUAAGCAUGUAGGCGGAGGUUCCAGGUAAAUCCGGUACCUUUUAACGCUGAGGUGUGAUGACGAGGCACUACGGUGCUGAAGUAACAAAUGCCCUGCUUCCAGGAAAAGCCUCUAAGCAUCAGGUAACACGAAAUCGUACCCCAAACCGACACAGGUGGUCAGGUAGAGAAUACCAAGGCGCUUGAGAGAACUCGGGUGAAGGAACUAGGCAAAAUGGUGCCGUAACUUCGGGAGAAGGCACGCUGAUAUGUAGGUGAAGUGAUUUACUCAUGGAGCUGAAAUCAGUCGAAGAUACCAGCUGGCUGCAACUGUUUAUUAAAAACACAGCACUGUGCAAACACGAAAGUGGACGUAUACGGUGUGACGCCUGCCCGGUGCCGGAAGGUUAAUUGAUGGGGUUAGCGGCAACGCGAAGCUCUUGAUCGAAGCCCCGGUAAACGGCGGCCGUAACUAUAACGGUCCUAAGGUAGCGAAAUUCCUUGUCGGGU
rnacentral:rRNA from 1 species